GACAGAGGUGCCAAGCGUUAGGCGGAAUCACUGGGCUUAAAGCGUGUGUAGGCGGAGUUCUAAGUACCUUGUGAAAUCCCACGGCUCAACCGUGGAACUGCUCGGUAUACUAGUUCUCUUGAGCCACUUAGGGGCUGUCGGAACAAACGGUGGAGCGGUGAAAUUCGUAGAUAUUCGGCGGAACACCAGUGGCGAAGGCGACUCACUGGCCCGAUACUGACGCUGAGGCGCGAAAGCGUGGGGAGCAAACAGG
rnacentral:rRNA from 1 species